AUUGAACGCUGGCGGCAGGCCUAACACAUGCAAGUCGAACGCGUGUCGGAAGGGUGAGUAAUGUCUGGGAGACUGCCCGAUGGAGGGGGAUAACUCCUGGGAACGGUAGCUAAUACCGCAUACCAUCGGAUGUGCCCCGAUGGGAUUAGCUAGUAGGUGGGGUAACGGCUCACCCAGGCGACGAUCCCUAGCUGGUCUGAGAGGAUGACCAGCCACACUGGAACUGAGACACGGCCCAGACUCCUACGGGAGGCAGCAGUGGGGAAUAUUGCGCAAUGGGCGCAAGCCUGAUGCAGCCAUGCCGCGUGUAUGAAGAAGGCCUUCGGGUUGUAAAGUACUUUCAGCGGGGAGGCGUUACUCGCAGAAGAAGCACCGGCUAACUCCGUGCCAGCCGCCGCGGUAAUAC
rnacentral:rRNA from 1 species